rnacentral:rRNA from 1 species
AUUGAACGCUGGCGGCAUGCUCUACACAUGCAAGUCGAACGGUAACAGGCCGCAAGGUGCUGACGAGUGGCGAACGGGUGAGUAAUGCAUCGGAACGUGCCCAGUCGUGGGGGAUAACUACUCGAAAGAGUAGCUAAUACCGCAUACGAUCUAUGGAUGAAAGCGGGGGACCGUAAGGCCUCGCGCGAUUGGAGCGGCCGAUGUCAGAUUAGGUAGUUGGUGGGGUAAAGGCUCACCAAGCCAACGAUCUGUAGCUGGUCUGAGAGGACGACCAGCCACACUGGGACUGAGACACGGCCCAGACUCCUACGGGAGGCAGCAGUGGGGAAUUUUGGACAAUGGGCGCAAGCCUGAUCCAGCAAUGCCGCGUGCAGGAAGAAGGCCUUCGGGUUGUAAAAUGCUUUUGUACGGAACGAAACGGCUCUGGUUAAUACCCGGGGCUAAUGACGGUACCGUAAGAAUAAGCACCGGCUAACUACGUG